rnacentral:rRNA from 1 species
UUAAGUUAGAAAGGGCGCACGGUGGAUGCCUUGGCACUAGGAGCCGAUGAAGGACGGGACAAACACCGAAAUGCUUCGGGGAGCUGUAAGUAAGCGUCGAUCCGGAGAUGUCCGAAUGGGGGAACCCACUGUCCGUAAUGGGGCAGUAUCCAUACCUGAAUCCAUAGGGUAUGGAGGGCAACCCGGGGAACUGAAACAUCUAAGUACCCGGAGGAAGAGAAAGCAACAGCGAUUCCCUGAGUAGCGGCGAGCGAAACGGGAACAGCCCAAACCAAGAGGCGUGCCUCUUGGGGUUGUAGGACACUCGAUUAAGGAGUGACAAAGGAACGGGGUAGACGAAGAGGUCUGGAAAGGCCCGUCAGAGAAGGUAACAACCCUGUAGUCGAAACUCCGUUCCCUCCCGAGUGGAUCCUGAGUACGGCGGGACACGUGAAAUCCCGUCGGAAGCAGGGAGGACCAUCUCCCAAGGCUAAAUACUCCCUAGUGACCGAUAGUGAACCAGUACCGUGAGGGAAAGGUGAAAAGCACCCCGGGAGGGGAGUGAAAGAGAACCUGAAACCGUGUGCCUACAAGUAGUCAGAGCCCGUUAACGGGUGAUGGCGUGCCUUUUGUAGAAUGAACCGGCGAGUUGCGAUUUCGUGCAAGGUUAAGCCGAAAGGCGGAGCCGCAGCGAAAGCGAGUCUGAAGAGGGCGAAAUAGUACGAGGUCGCAGACCCGAAACCAGGUGAUCUACCCAUGUCCAGGGUGAAGGCAAGGUAACACUUGCUGGAGGCCCGAACCCACGCACGUUGAAAAGUGCGGGGAUGAGGUGUGGGUAGGGGUGAAAUGCCAAUCGAACUUGGAGAUAGCUGGUUCUCUCCGAAAUAGCUUUAGGGCUAGCCUCAAGGGAAGAGUCUUGGAGGUAGAGCACUGAUUGGACGAGGGGCCCCCAUCGGGUUACCGAAUUCAGUCAAACUCCGAAUGCCAAUGACUUAUCCUUGGGAGUCAGACUGCGAGUGAUAAGAUCCGUGGUCAAAAGGGAAACAGCCCAGACCGCCAGCUAAGGUCCCAAAGUAUACGUUAAGUGGAAAAGGAUGUGGAGCUGCUUAGACAACCAGGAUGUUGGCUUAGAAGCAGCCACCAUUUAAAGAGUGCGUAAUAGCUCACUGGUCGAGUGGCUCUGCGCCGAAAAUGUACCGGGGCUAAACGUAUCACCGAAGCUGCGGGUUGACACCGUUGGUGUCAGCGGUAGGAGAGCGUUCUAAGGGCAUCGAAGCCGGACCGGAAGGACCGGUGGAGCGCUUAGAAGUGAGAAUGCCGGUAUGAGUAGCGAAAGAGGGGUGAGAAUCCCCUCCGCCGAAAGCCUAAGGUUUCCUGAGGAAGGCUCGUCCGCUCAGGGUUAGUCGGGACCUAAGCCGAGGCCGAAAGGCGUAGGUGAUGGACAACAGGUUGAUAUUCCUGUACCACCUCCUCACCGUUUGAGCAAUGGGGGGACGCAGGAGGAUAGGGCAAGCGCGCGGCUGGAUGUGCGCGUCCAAGCAGUUAGGCUGGCAAGCAGGCAAAUCCGCUUGCCGGAAGGCUGAGCUGUGAUGGCGAGGGAAAGGAAGUACCGAAGUUCCCGAUUCCACACUGCCAAGAAAAGCCUCUAGCGAGGUGAGAGGUGCCCGUACCGCAAACCGACACAGGUAGGCGAGGAGAGAAUCCUAAGGUGAGCGAGAGAACUCUCGUUAAGGAACUCGGCAAAAUGACCCCGUAACUUCGGGAGAAGGGGUGCUCAUCAAGGUGAUAAGCCAUGAUGAGCCGCAGUGAAAAGGCCCAGGCGACUGUUUAGCAAAAACACAGGUCUCUGCGAAACCGUAAGGUGAAGUAUAGGGGCUGACGCCUGCCCGGUGCUGGAAGGUUAAGGGGAGCGCUUAGCGAAAAGCGAAGGUGCGAACCGAAGCCCCAGUAAACGGCGGCCGUAACUAUAACGGUCCUAAGGUAGCGAAAUUCCUUGUCGGGUAAGUUCCGACCCGCNCGGCGGCCGUAACUAUAACGGUCCUAAGGUAGCGAAAUUCCUUGUCGGGUAAGUUCCGACCCGCACGAAAGGCGUAACGAUCUGGGCACUGUCUCAACGAGAGACUCGGUGAAAUUAUAGUACCUGUGAAGAUGCAGGUUACCCGCGACAGGACGGAAAGACCCCGUGGAGCUUUACUGCAGCCUGAUAUUGAAUGUGGGUACAGCUUGUACAGGAUAGGUAGGAGCCAGAGACGCGUGAGCGCCAGCUUGCGCUGAGGCGACGGUGGGAUACUACCCUGGCUGUACUGACAUUCUAACCCGCGCCCCUGAUCGGGGCGGGAGACAGUGUCAGGUGGGCAGUUUGACUGGGGCGGUCGCCUCCUAAAAGGUAACGGAGGCGCCCAAAGGUUCCCUCAGAAUGGUUGGAAAUCAUUCGGAGAGUGCAAAGGCAGAAGGGAGCUUGACUGCGAGACCUACAAGUCGAGCAGGGACGAAAGUCGGGCUUAGUGAUCCGGUGGUUCCGCAUGGAAGGGCCAUCGCUCAACGGAUAAAAGCUACCCCGGGGAUAACAGGCUGAUCUCCCCCAAGAGUCCACAUCGACGGGGAGGUUUGGCACCUCGAUGUCGGCUCAUCGCAUCCUGGGGCUGUAGUCGGUCCCAAGGGUUGGGCUGUUCGCCCAUUAAAGCGGUACGCGAGCUGGGUUCAGAACGUCGUGAGACAGUUCGGUCCCUAUCCGUCGCGGGCGCAGGAAAUUUGAGAGGAGCUGUCCUUAGUACGAGAGGACCGGGAUGGACGCACCGCUGGUGUACCAGUUGUCCCGCCAGGGGCACCGCUGGGUAGCUAUGUGCGGAAGGGAUAAGCGCUGAAAGCAUCUAAGCGUGAAGCCCCCCUCAAGAUGAGAUUUCCCAUCGCUAAACGCGAGUAAGAUCCCUUGAAGAUGACGAGGUAGAUAGGUCCGAGGUGGAAGCGUGGUGACACGUGGAGCUGACGGAUACUAAUCGAUCGAGGACUUAACCAA